rnacentral:rRNA from 1 species
CUUCUCUUGAGAGCGGCGGACGGGUGAGUAAUGCCUAGGAAUCUGCCUGGUAGUGGGGGAUAACGCUCGGAAACGGACGCUAAUACCGCAUACGUCCUACGGGAGAAAGCAGGGGACCUUCGGGCCUUGCGCUAUCAUAUGAGCCUAGGUCGGAUUAUCUAGUUGGUGAGGUAAUGGCUCACCAAGGCGACUAUCCGUAACUGGUCUGAGAGGAUGAUCAGUCACACUGGAACUGAGACACGGUCCACACUCCUACGGGAGGCAGCAGUGGGGAAUAUUGGACAAUGGGCGAAAGCCUGAUCCACCCGUGCCGCGUGUGUGAAGAAGGUCUUCGGAUUGUAAAGCACUUUAAGUUGGGAGGAAGGGCAGUUACCUAAUACGUUGCUGUCUUGACGUUACCGACAGAAUAAGCACCGGCUAACUCUGUGCCAGCAGCCGCGGUAAUACAGAGGGUGCAAGCGUUAAUCGGAAUUACUGGGCGUAAAGCGCGCGUAGGUGGUUUGUUAAGUUGGAUGUGAAAUCCCCGGGCUCAACCUGGGAACUGCAUUCAAAACUGACAAGCUAGAGUAUGGUAGAGGGUGGUGGAAUUUCCUGUGUAGCGGUGAAAUGCUUACAUGUAAGAAGGAACACCAGUGGCGAAUGCUACCACCUGGACUGAUACUGACACUGAGGUG